AUUGAACGCUGGCGGCAGGCCUAACACAUGCAAGUCGAACGGUAACAGGAAACAGCUUGCUGUUUCGCUGACGAGUGGCGGACGGGUGAGUAAUGUCCGGGAAACUGCCUGAUGGAGGGGGAUAACUACUGGAAACGGUAGCUAAUACCGCAUAACGUCGCAAGACCAAAGAGGGGGACCUUCGGGCCUCUUGCCAUCGGAUGUGCCCAGAUGGGAUUAGCUAGUAGGUGGGGUAACGGCUCACCUAGGCGACGAUCCCUAGCUGGUCUGAGAGGAUGACCAGCCACACUGGAACUGAGACACGGUCCAGACUCCUGCGGGAGGCAGCAGUGGGGAAUAUUGCACAAUGGGCGCAAGCCUGAUGCAGCCAUGCCGCGUGUAUGAAGAAGGCCUUCGGGUUGUAAAGUACUUUCAGCGGGGAGGAAGGGAGUAAAGUCAAUACCUUUGCUCAUUGACGUUACCCGCAGAAGAAGCACCGGCUAACUCCGUGCCAGCAGCCGCGGUAA
rnacentral:rRNA from 1 species